GAUGCACACUGUUAAAGCUUGAAGUUGAAGAUGUUUUGUGAACCUUCAAGUGUCGGAAGUGUGCUAAAGUAGCUAGCAGAAUUGUUGCUAACAAGCAGUCUUGUUCAAUGACUGGUGUUUGCUAAUGAGAUCUGUUACAGUC